GAACAAAUAACACAAAUGCGGAUCUCUCUUCUAUCUCAUUUCAUUUUCUGCUUCUAUUUCUCCCUCCGCCAUUCCGGAGGCUAUCCUCGUCGGCAUAAGCACUCCAAUUAACAAACUAAAGACAACAUCUAACCUAUUUUGACGCCCUAUAUCCGAAUCUACCACUAAAAUUCCCUAAUUCCUCGAUAACUUCUCAAAUCAAAACAAAAUCUUGAUGAACCUUAACAUGAAAAAAUGGAAUUAAAUCGCAUCGGAGGGAAAUCGAUCCACCCCACAUUGGGGCUUUGAUUCCCCUCGUGAAGAACUACAUUCCUGUAACUAAAUUUUGAAAAAACAAAGAAGGUGAUUGAAGGCUCACUAGAGCACACAUCGGCGUCAGGUACGACUUUCUUGAACUCUUUCUUUGCAUUUCAAAUCGUCUUCUUCUUCUCCUGUUGAUUGUGUUGUUAUUCUUGUGUGUGCAUUGUGAGUUAUGAAUCAGCGUGUGUGGUUGUUGAUUUGCGAGAGAAGUGAGAGGUGAUGAAUUCUUGUGAGAGUUUCGAAACUGAGAGUUGAAGAUGAAUUCGAAGGUGAUGCAAAAAUCUGGAAAAUAAGUUGAAGGAGAAUUCAAAGGUGAUGCCAAAAAUAUGGAAAAUGAGUUCCCAAUUGAAAAAUGGUGAUUGUUCUAUUUAUAUAGUUUCUGAUUUCUAUUAUGUUCUUCUCAAAUUAUGUUAUAGUUUUUAUUCAUUUUGUUAGAAGCUUGCGAAGUUUGUUACAAGCCGGUUAGGUUAGUUUGUUGAAAGGUGAAAGUUAGUUACAAAGAGUUAGUUAGGAUAAGUUAGUUGGAAGAAGGUUUAGGUUGUGUGAAGUUAAAUAGGUUCUAAGUUUCUUGAUUGUAGUCAGAAGUGAAAUGAAAAUUUUGCGAAUGUUUUCUGUUUAGACUUUUGAACUGAGUUUUUGUGGUGAUGCAGGGUUGUGGUUUCAAUGGCUAAGGCAAGGUUGACUUGAGAUGUUAUCAUGGUUCUUAGUUAUGAUGGAUCAUGUCAUAGUUUUUCUUUGGUCAUGAAAUUGGAUAUGGAUUUAUGAGCUUUGGAUCAUUAGACUAGUUUUGAUCAUGUUGGAUACUGUUGUAAUGGUUUAUAUUGUGAAUUUGAAAUUAUGUAUGGUUAUGUAAAAGGUAUUUGGAAAUUGAAUAAAUGGAAUUUUGUAUAUGUAUGGAAUUAUUAUUGUAUGAGAUAUGAAUAUUAAUGGUUAAAUAUAAUUUGUGUUAUAAUGUGAUGGAUUAUUGGAUUAAUGGUGGAAAUGUGUAUUAGUGUAUGAUGGUAUAAGGAAAAUCAAUGGUAUUUGACUUUAAAAUGAUAAUUGGAUCUUUUGAAAUGAAAAAAAAAGGCUAAAA
rnacentral:lncRNA from 1 species